AUUCAGCUGAAGAGUCCAAAACAGGAUGAAAUGUGCGUCCUGGAU
rnacentral:hammerhead_ribozyme from 1 species